CUCAGCUUCAGAAAACUGGAGAGCCGUGAUUGGCAACUGUGAUGUCAUUUUCAGUUGACAACAAGCGGCAAAAUGGCCACCCCCUGAGAUGGAUAACAAGUGGAUUUGGCCUCUUUCAUUAAUGCUGCGGUGUGUCAUUGGCAAGACAUUUAUGUUCACUUUGCUUGGACUUUAAACUGUGUGCGAGGGAUACAACUUUUUUUUGUGGUCUCCAUAUCAUGGCUUUUGUGCUUGUGUUUGGAACUAUAAACAGGACUUUACUGUACGUUCUGGAAAUGACUCCUAUCAGCUUACGAGUUGUGGUUGUUUGAUUGCGCCGCACAUCAGCGCAAUAAAAGAAAGUGAAUGAAUGAAAGCAGCACAGCACAGAGACCAAAGACAGAAAGAGGAGGAGGAGGAGGAAGAAGAGUGAGGGAGCGUUGCUUUUCAAGAGUGGAGCUGAGAACAAAAGGCCUCUUUGUGUUGUCACUGGCGAGUGCAGUGAAGUGGAGCCAGCGCUUUGGGAGUGUUUAACAGUGUGCACCGACUGCAUUCCUGCCGUGUGAUUACAAGACGCUUUUAAUUUCCACUCAGGAAACCCGGCGACUUAACUCUUUGCGCUCCUCGCAUUCUCUCACAUUCAUUCUCGGUCGACUCCAUCUGCUGCCGUGGCUUUUUCCACUCAGCGGUUGGGCCGCGCGGGCUCUUUGCGGGGGUGAGGGAGCGGCCGCUGAAAUCCGCCGGCAACAAAAACAAAAUCGUCUAUCGCAAUUCGAGUGAAUUGUAUCAUCAUUUAAAAUAAUCGUAUUGUGUUUGGAUUGAAUUGUAUCAUAUUUUGAGUGACGACCUAUCGCAAUUAGAGUGAAUCGUAAUUAGAAGUAUUCAUAUCGUAAGUGGAGUUAAUUGGAACUGAGUGAAUCGUAUCGAAAUUGGAAAGAAUCGUAUUGUAAUUCAAAGCAAUAUGAAUCAUUCGCAGUUGGAGCUGUAUCGUACUCUAUCUGGGGGGGAAAAAAAACAUUUGAACUGAAAAAAAUUAUGCAGUGAAAUGUAUACAUCAUAAUUGGAAGGAAUCGUAUUGUAAUUUUGUGAGUCGCACCCUACGGUCAUCGUAGUGAGUCGUAUCGCGUCGUGAUUUCAGCCAAUCAUGUCAAAAUUGGGGUGAAUUCAGCUUCAUCCGUAUCAUACGUCUCGUCAAUGUACGAAAACGUUUUCUCAUUUACAGCACACUUGCUCCUGUUUUUUUUUCACUCCGAUUGCACUCCUCCCUCCCUCUUUUCUACACUCUGCCACCCAGCCACUGUAUUCAUGAAUAUACUAGAUAAAAGAUAAAAGCGGCAUUUGUCAACACUCGAAAUCCGUCCCGGUCCUUUCUGCGAAGUCGUCUCAGCUCAUCGCUCGGUCCCGUAAUGAGUCUUGGCAUUGUCCAAAUGCAAAAAAUUCCAGGGUGGCCCUAGAAAUACAAGGCAUGAAAAGUUUCUGAAAACUCUUUUUGAAAAGAAAAAAAAGAACAAGCAGUACAGGCUCUGAAUUCGCCCACCAGAUUAGUCUUCCCCUCUGCAAGAUGCUAGAAAAAGAUUUAAUUAGCCCCACUUUUUUGUGUGUGUGGGGCCCUCGCCCCUUUCACUGGACUCCCAUUCACUUUUAUUCUGAUUUCAAUAUGCCCACUCGGCGUUUUUGCCGACCACCUCGAGGCUUCGUGCUUUUUGUGUGCAAGCUUUUUGUCCCAACCCGCAUCGGUUCGGCGAUAAAACGAAGAGUAAAUGGAUGACGAGAAAGAAGCGGGAAAACGAUUCAGAGGGAGGGUUGAGAGGGUUUUACUGUAAAUUGCCCUUGUUAAAAAAACCUGGUUUGUUUUCCAAGUUCACCGAAAAAUUGCCAUAAUUCUGUUUUUAAAAAAAAAAAAGUUCUCAUUUAACGGGAACUUGUUACGGCUCAUUUUGAAGUCUGAAUGGAUCUCUCCCUCCCCAAAAAGAUGGCCACUUGUCAACCCCCAACCCACCAAACCCACCCACCCGUCUUUUCUCCAAUUCCUGACCAAGCCCCAGGGUCUGUUUUGUCCGUUGCGGAGCGAUACCGUGCGGGGGUGCGGGAAGAAAGACGCCGUGGGAGAUGAAAGGAAGGUGGGGGGGGGUGACAAGAGGUGAGGAAGGUUGGGGGAGGUACGCAGUCUGUAAAACCCCCCCUCGCACCGUCCCACUCCCUCAUCCCUCUUCUCUACUUUAACAUCAAAGCCGAGCACAGCAAUAGAAUUCAAUAGAAGCAAUCUCCAUUUCUAUGGAUCCCCCCCCCCUUCAAGACCAGGGCUCCUUGGCAGUCACUCACUCAUCCCAGGCUUCGUACAUUUCAGCCCCACUCAUCCAUUCAUGAUGAACUUUGGCCCAACGGUACCGAAAGGGUGAUGAAUUUGCGUCAUGAUUUAACAAUUAGCAAGGCUUGACUUAUCGCGAUUCCGCCUCAGAUUUUUUUUUUUUUUAAUUAACUUGUCUGUACCUCUAAGAGUAGUUGAGGUAGGUAGUUAACUAUUUAGGCAAAUCAUUCUCAUUACAGUUAUCAAAAGUUGUGAUACAUAUAUUUUGCAAAGUGGAUGACUUCAGCAGAAAUGUUAGCAUACAGCGCUCUCCACAAGAAUACGGAGGUUGCUAACAUUAGCUCCUUUCACAGCAUCUGUGUUUUUCUGUCAGUAUCCAUCUCUCAAAAUACAGACGCUUAGAAUAAUGAUAAUAUACACUCUCCACUCUUCUAAUUCAUUUGAUACGCCUGUUAGCAUUUGACGACUGACUAUUUAUUGUCCUUUGAUUAAGCGGUUAGCGUGGGCGGCGUUCGACAUUUCGCUGAACUGUCAAAACUUCUUUUGGUUUUCGUGGGUUUUUGCAAAAAAAAAAAAAAAAAUUGCUCCAAUUUCCUCGCUUGAAACAUUUUCUGGCCGCCAAAUCACCCGCCUGCGACGCUAAGUGAAUAUGACAGCCUUGCAAAUAUUUCAGUCCCAACUUUCAGUAUGUGUCACGUAGCUCGCCAACAGGCAUGGAUCAUUAAGUGGAGAACAUCUCCAUAAAGUCAUCAGGGGAUGAACAUUCCACAAGAUUUGGGAUAGGAGCAGGUCUUAUUUUAUACGAGAUGAUAAAUUGGUAGGCAAGCAUUUUGGCAUCGAUAAUCUGAUCGCUGAGUCUUUGCUGCUGGGAACAGGUUCAUAGGAAGAGUGGCCAAGUUAGCCGUUAAAUCCUUCUUGCCUCUUACUGUUGACCCGUAAGUGAUGUGGGGGACGGAUCACAGGGUGCCUACACUGCCGGGGCAGCUAGAUGAGUGGUCCGAAACCGGCCAAGGAGGAGCACUUGUGUAAUUCCUCUAAUUGGAACUAUUUGGUCGAAACUCGGUGUUUCGGAUUCACCAUUGCGCCCGUAAUCUUUCCCAGGUGUGUGAUUCAGACACAUAUAGCUAGCGUUACCAUCACGCUUGAGCAACCGAUGUACCAAGUAACCUUCCCGUACCGUAUUCUAACGUUCUCACCCUACCGGCAGAUUACUGUUACGCUCUGAGGUACAGCUGCAUUCCUUUAUGUUGCUCGGGAAGCUUUAUUGCAAAUUAGCAAUGAGCGACUUAGCGGUGCCAAAUAAGGAUUUGCGGCAUUAAACUGCUUGUUUUGUUUGCGAAGAAAAGGGACUUGGAGGAUUAGAGGAGGAAGCAGGAAAUGACAAAGCUAAAACUCCUCAAGCCGCCGCUUCACUUCACAAGGGGGCCGCUUGCUGGUCGAGCCUCAGAGAACCGGUCCGAUCGAUAAUGCUAAUUAAACACGGAAGACGACUCCAGUUUUUUUUUAACGUGGCAGGAAGCCUUUCAAAGGAGGCUUUGUGAGAUUUAGCCUUCUCUAGGAUACACUAUCUUACCAACUCGCGACCAAAAGCCUCCGUUUGUUUUCCAAAUGCAGCAUUCAGAUUGUUUCCUCUGCGAAAAGGCUAACUUUAGCAUUAGCAUCACGUUGUCCAGCAGACAUUCUUCUAUUGCAUGUUGCUAGCUUGUUGCUAUAAACAGAACUGUAACUAAAGCUGUUUCACUUAGCUCGUAAACAUCGCAACAGUAGACUGGAGUGACUGUACAGUAUAUACGCUUGGCGCAACAAAACAGACCCCCCCCCCCCUCACACACACACACACACACACACGCACACACACGCACACACACACUUUUUCCCCACUGUGCUUUCACUUAAGCACCCCCUAAACUCCUCCCCUGAUUUUUUUUUUAACAACGCCCUGCUUCCCAAUAAACUUUUUGCGGCGUUUGGAAUCCAUUAGGAGCAAUAUCCCAUUUUUGAAAACAUCCUGGAUCUUUGCGGGAGGGGGAAAGGGUUAGGGUUAGGGACAGAAAUUUCCAUUUGUAUUGAGGGCACAGCCAGAACGUCACAGGAACCAGGAAAAGAAGAUGUCGUCGUAAAUCCGUUUGGCAGCUGCUGACUGGAGGAACUUGUGUUUUUCUUUAAGGCCCUGUCCAGAUCCCUAACUGGAACGUUCCCUUGACAAGCUUUUGGCCCAAAUCAACUAUAUAAAGAGCGAUGGCGCAGCCCUUUGUCACUUUCGGUCUUGGGUCAAUUUGUAUGUAUGCACGCACGUACACACACACACGCACGUACACACACACACACUCCAUCCAAUAACCUGCUGAGAGCUUUUUUUUUUUUUUUUUUUUUUUUUUUUAAAAGGUGGAGAAAAAGUACGGUCCACCAUGAGCAGCGGCUACCGUGUGUUUUUGGAACUUUGUGUGAUGGUGCGAAGGCUGUUUUGAGAGAGGACACCAAAACGUGUCUGAUUUCCUCUCGCUCUGUCGGAACAAAACAAAAGAUAAAGUCAAUGCCAAGGAUAUGGUAUCCAGGAAGCUAGAGGCCGCUUGUCUCCGCCCUGCUUUCUCGCACGCUUUUUAAUUGAAGUUUAUUUUCAAAUAGAGCUAUUGUCAGGUAUCACCUCAGGUAUUCCCACUGUAUUAGUUGGAAGUGGACGUUAUCACGGGCCAAACAAACCUUGAAUCCAAUUCAGAUAAGAGCCACUCGAGUGUCGCAAGCGAUUGUUCCCACAGCGUCGACGUGGAAAACACGAGGUGCUGCCAGACAAACGGGUGGCGGCGCGCCAGCCAGGAGAGGGAGGUGCGCCAGGUCACCGACAAAAGGAGGUGUAAACAACUUUUAACAAUAGUGCCUUCCGGCGAGCGAGCAAGCGAGCGCCUUUCCUGCCUGCGCGCCCCCUCGCAUGCGCCCUGGCUUCCUGUGGACAUCCAGACAUGCGCCUGAAGCAGCAGCGUCGGCAAGCCGCACUCCUGCAGAGAUGGCGCACCCCUCCUUCCCCCUUCGCACACACCCUCAAAAGCAAAUGAACAUCUGAAUACAAGUCAAAGAAGGACAAAAAUGUGCCAAACUUUGAAGACAAGCAUCAGCUACAACAUCCCAGCGGGGACGGCGCACCCUUUAUCUCUUGCACACGUCCUCCCAAGAAGUUAAAUACACAAGCCAAAGAACAGUCCAACUUUUAAAGGCACGCACCGACUUCAACACCUUGACAGACAAGGUGCACCCCUUCUCACUUCCAAACACAAGUCAAUUUGAAUACUUAAGACAAAAACUCAGAAAUAUGCCAAACCUUUUAAGCCUUGCAGCCCUUUCAGUAUCUUGACAAAAUGGGCGCACGCCCUCACAGACCCUCAAAAGAGUCAAUUCAAAUAUAGAAGGCAAAGAACGGGAUAAUUUUCCAAACCUUCUAAGCAAUGCACUUCUUCAAUGUCUUGACAAACAUGGCGCACGCCCUCAACAUAGUAAGUCAACUUGUUGAUAGCGCACCACUUUUCAUAAAAAAACAAAAAUCGAUUUAAAGACUGAAACUAAAUAAUGGCUGAAUCAACUUAGUAGGAUUCGCCCGCACUCCAACAUCGCAACAGACAUAGCGGCGCACCCCUCCUCUGCCAAAUUAUCUCUGACAACUCCUAAAUGAUUGAUGACAUUCUGACGUCUAAACGGAGAAAUCUGUUACAUGCGCCAAGGAGGAAGGGGGGUGAGGAGGGUCGUAAAAAGGAAGAAAAGGAGGACACGGGGCUUGUGGGUAAUUACGGUGCGAGGCGGUGGGCGGGAGAAGAGCGAUUGAGUUGGGGGGGGAGGCCAGAUGUGCAAGGAAUGUUCUGGCUGGAGGUGCGCGGGUGGGUGUGCGGUUGGAGUGAAGAGCAUUUGAAUUACGCAGCCUGCAAGUCAUUAAAGAGGCUGUCAGGCCUCCGAGAGUUCCACAGUGUAGUUCGCAAUGUAGUGCUUUGACGCUACGCAGGCAGUACGGCCUUGAAGACUUUUGGGGGACUUUGAUUUGGAUCUCUUUUGACUACUGCUGUAAAUCGGAGGCUGACUGGGGUUAGGGUUUCAAAUUACGGUUUGAAGACAGGCAUGGGAUUUUAAACAAGGGGUUAAGGUUUCAAGUUAGGGUUCCAAAACUGAGUUGGGGUGUCAAGAUAGGAACAAAGUUUCAAGUAAGGGUUAGGAUUUCAAAACGGGGUUUUGAGAUGGGGUCAGGGUUUCAAGAAACUGAAGUUUAGGGUUUCAAGGCCAAGUUACAGUUUUCAAGCCCGGACCCGAACAGGUAUACGACUUCCCCCUCCCCAGCGGCUUCAUUCUAGACCAGACCAUGAACAACGAGACCUUCAGAGCUUUUUGCUUGCCUUUUAUUAGUUCAGAGUCAGCUAGCUGCUUGAGAACUGGAUGGCCAACGGUGGCAGCGCCGGGCUGUCGACUUUAUUUAGUGCCCUCACCCUUUUUGGGUUAGGACAAGUCAGCUCCCCCCUUCCUCAAAUAUACCCACCAAAACCAAACAAAAGCCAAAAAAGCGUCCACGCUUGACGUCUACCUUUAAGUCGAGAGCAUCGCUGUUUGUUCAGCUGUGAGAGAAAAAGGCUGAGAAGGAGGAGGAGGAGGAAAUGAAGAGACGCCACGAUGCUGGUGUUUGUUCUGCCGAGUAAGACGAGAGCCAGGAAACGACUGAUUGAGUGCUCCCGCCUGGCGACUCCUUACACCUGGACCUGCAUGGACCCCACCCCAUGCUGACAGGGACCCUGUCCCUGUCUUGAAACCAUAAUCCUGUCUUGACACCCUAAUGGGAAAACUUAGCUUUUUCUUCUUGUUUUGGUUGAGCUGACAGGAAGUAAGAAGUGCUGAUGAGACUGCUGAGGAGGCCUGGUGCAACGGCAACAACAGGAUGAAGCAAGAAGCCCCUACAACCACCACAACUCCACCCGCACCCACUCCCUGCCCCAGGGACAUGCGCCACACACACAAAAAACCCUCAGCGUGUCCCCGGCGUGACUGGGGAAGUGUGAGCGGGAGCCCGGAGUCCAAUCACAGCAAAGAAUGAGGUCAGCGACAACGAGGAAGCCGGAGCCUGCAUUUCCAGUUUUGCUCCGUCAGUCAUUGACAAAGUGCAACAGUGACGAAGGUAAAAAGCUCAAAGGCGUGUCUGCCAUUGUUUGCCAACACCAAUCAAUCACUCCACCAAUCAGUCAUCCAGCGGUGACACAAAACCCAAAGCCAGAAAGGCCCGCGGGAAGAUUCACCCCACCGCCGCAGCUCAGCGGCCCGUCUGGCCACCGAUUCUCGGCCAAUCACGGACGAUGCGUCACCGAGAUGGACGGUCAUUAAAGACAGCUCUGGCGCUUUUGUUUACGUAAGACAACAAAAAGAUUGCACGACUUCUUUGUGUUGUGUAAAUGUUCUCAGAAGGAGUUUAGUGGCCUUACAAUAACUGGAGCACACAUGUUGGGUGAGAAAACUAGGUGCGGGAAUUUAGCCGUUGUUUUACGACAGAAAUUUGGCAAGAAUCGAAAAGUUUAUUACUUUUAAGGCUACUAUUUAAAAAGUUAGUUUAGAUGUAUGUGAAUAUACAUUUUUAGAGGGGUGAGUGUUCUAAUCACAAAUUUUGUCUCGUUGAGUCUGUCAACUACAUUGUGGACUCAAUUUGAUUUUGAAUAAUUGUUCAGCUCACAAGCCGAAGACAAUGACGUUGGUUAAAAAAGAGCAGUUGAGCGUCAUGACACAGUUGACUUGUUAUCUUGUUUGAUAAGCGUAACAAAAACGACAGCUGCCCUGAAUGUCAAGAAGCGGUUCGCGGCAACAGUUGCCAAUCGGAAAAGCGCCGUUGGCAUACCAUGACAUCCCACGUGCCGUGAGGGGCCACGCUAACAAGCGACGAGGUAAUCAGAAAAUAGAUGAGAACAAGGUAGCGAAAGUUGGACUACUACGAGGGAGAAAAAAAAAGAAAUUUUUAUGUUUUUAGUACCACUUUAUUCCAACAAUAAUCCAUUCUUAUUCUUGAAACCUAAUAAAAGCCCGCCAAAUAAGUUACCCUCAUUUGCCUUUGUUGAUGUACGGCACGAUAUGCUAAGCGGCAGGAUGUAUCAGAGGGAUUAUUUACAGUGCAAACAACAUUUGGAAUAUGCAAAAGACGCUGAAGACCGUUGCACUUAAGCGCGCUGCGCUGUGACCGAGGCGUUUGAAUAACUGUCAACAGCGGCAGAGCUGUCCGAGCUGUAGCUUAGCAUGUUAGCAUGCUAACAUUCUACUUAUGGGUGCCUUUAAAUUAUGUACGAUACUAAUUAAUGAAAUACACACAAGAACAAAAACAAUAAGGGUAUUUCCAAAAAAAAAAACUUCAAUCAGUCAAUACAUUUACAUAUAUAUAUAGCUGCAGGCACAAUGCGCCACAUAGCAGCGCCGUAGGCAGGACAUUGAACAGUCUGUCCAGUCAGUCUAAUCCAAGCGCUAGCGGUAAGUGGAAACUUGACAACACUGAAGGGGGUUAAAAAAAAUUCCCUUGUUCAAACUUGAGCUCGGGUAACAAACACCCAUAUUUGGAGUGGCAGGUCCGGGACCCCAGGGGCCACGGCCUAUGACUGGACACGUUUGUGAUCCAGGUUACACAUAAAGCCACUUUAUUAGGUACACUUACAUUCUAAUAACAUCCAGAAAUUCAAUUCACAAGUGAAAUGUAAAAGGUACAGAAAAUAGAAUCAUGAAGUGUCCAGUGAGAAUACGCAUCGUAGAAUAGCUGAACGAUAAAAAGGAGAGGUCGCCAUCGCGAGGACAAACACAUGUAUGACAUCCUUUCAACUGCGGUUUAUAUAUAUUACCUUUACGUUUUCUUGUUCAACAUUUUUAGUUAAUACCUUUACAAACGAAUCAUGACAAUUUUCUUGAAAUAAAUUAUAUGCAUUCUUUAGUUUGUACAAUUAAAUAAAAAUAGAAGCAAUGUGAUUUGCCUUACCUGACGACAGUGAGCCUUAUGGCGGUGGUUCUCCAGGUCCAGCAAUGUGGGUGUCAGCAUGGGAAGAUCACCAUACUAUGUUCACCCUUAGUUUGUCUCGAGGGCUGUCGAAUCAACCCUUUUUUGUUGCUAACCGGAGUUUAAUCAUGUAGGCAUGAAAACUGAAAACUACCUGUUCGCCAUUGGAGCGUUGCAGUUCGACCGUUAAGUGGCUCCCAAUUUCAGCUGCGAACAAAGUUGUACUGAGUAAUCUUGUUCUUCCUAUCUGCAAAUUCAUCAAUGCUUAACACGGCCACUUUCUUUUGGUUAAACUUCAUCGGUUCAAUUGGUUUGACCUUUACAUUUGUAAAUGUCUAAUUCAAUCGUCUAAAUCAGGGGUUGGCAACCCGAGGCUCCAGAGCCGCAUGCGGCUCUUUAGCACACUCUAGCGGCUCCCUGGAGCUCCUGCAAAAAUGCGUGAAAAUGGAAAAAUAUGUUUGUUUGGGUUUUUUUAAUAUGGUUUUUAGAUGGUAAUCAUCACAAAUAUUCUUAUGCUGUAGAUUUUCUACAUUUUGUAUGUAGUUGUAAAUAUAUUAAAAAUACCGAAUUUCAGAAUGGCGUUUUGUUUUAUCUCUAAUUUUUUACUUUUCAUUUAAAUGACACAUUUGUAACCAUUUCUGUCUUUGUCUUUACAAUUCACUGCACUGAUUUUAACAUUAAGAUUGUAAAGUUAAUUUGAAAUUUUGCGAUGAGCUUUCUAAAUUUGUGAAUUGUCACUUCUUGCCAACGAGUUGUGACACAAGCUAUUGGCUUUACAUGUUUUAUUAUUGCUUUUUCCUCCUGUUUUUUGGGGGGGGGGUAUUUGGAGGCUAUUUUUGCAUUGAAACAACAAGGUGGCGGGGAGCUCAGUCCCACUUCCGCAGCCUCUUGUCACCCCGGCGGGUGUCUCUGAGGGGGUCGGUCCAGCCGUCAUCGGAGCCAUCGUGGUAGCGCAGGCGCAGGGUGUUCUGGAUGACCAAGCGCUCCACCAGGUAGGCAGCGCAGAACCAUGGCACGGCGUACUCGGCUGUCACCAGGCCCAUGAAGUUGUACCUGAAUUUGGAGUAGUCCCAGGGGCAGGCUCCGAACCGACGCAGGAGCAGGCCCGUGCUCAGCUCCCACGCAUACGUCCACAGCGUGUAGAUGACACAGCGCAGCACCACGUUGACGUGGUCGCGCAGCCGCAGAUACAUACGCUCAAUGGCCAGGAUACAGAAGCCGUAGAUGAGCAGCGCCCACACGCUGGUGAAGCCCGGGAACUUCCAGCUUCGGUUCGUUGUGAACUCCCAACAUGCCGUGAACAUCACCUCGCACACGAAGCCGUGGAUGGCGUACAGGUACCAGCGGCACAGGGCUGGCAGUGGCGAUGGCGGCUGCAGGAUGGACAUGGUCGCCAUGGCCACGCGGCUCGUCGACUCAGGGCCCAGGUC